GACGUAGGAUGCAAGCGUUUGUCCGGAUUUAUUGGGCGUAAAGAGUUCGUAGGCGGUUCGUUAAGUCUGAUGUUAAAGACUGGGGCUCAACCCUGGGAGUGCAUUGGAUACUGGCGGACUGGAGUGCAGUAGAGGCAAGCGGAAUUCCCAGUGUAGCGGUGAAAAUGCGUAGAUAUUGGGAAGAACACCGGUGGCGCAAGCGGCUUGCUGGGCUGUAACUGACGCUGAGGAACGAAAGCUAGGGGAGCGAAUGGG
rnacentral:rRNA from 1 species